ACUCUUGUUGCCUCGAAACCAGACAUAUGAAAGCUAAAAUUUUUCAUUUUUGGGUUAUUUCCUCGAUCAACUUCUCUCUCCUCACUUAGAAGAUCUCUCAUUUCUCUCUCUUCUCCUUAUUUGUUUCCCCAAACGAUCUGAAAACUUUGGUUCAGAUCUUCGUCUCCCUGAAACUCUCUUUUCUCUCUCGAAAACCUGGAGUCAACUACGCUCUCUCCCUCUUUGUUUCCUCGAACGAUAUGAAACUUCAGUUCAGAUCUUUUGUCUCCCUGAAGCUCUUUUUUCUUUCCAUUUCUUGUCCUCGAACUCUCUCUUCCUUCUCUCUAAUCUAUUUGAAAACAUGUACCUCAAAUGUCUAGAACCCCUUUAAAAGCCUAUCAGAUCUAGAACCCCUUGGUCUUGUAAGCUUCGUUUGCCUUGACAGUGGCGAACUACUAAACACCCGAAGGUGUUUAAAGGAUGGUGACCCUUGCGACGAGACCCAGGAGGGGUCUAACUGAAAGUUUCAAAGCUAAGUAUCUCAUCUUUAUUAUUGCUCUGUCUGAAAAUUGCUAUUGAUGUGUGUGAAUGUGUGUAUGCUUUGUCACUGCAUAUGAGUUGAGUGUUGGUUGUGUUUUGGGUGAUUCUAGGGUUUUAGAUUCAAGGGUUAGGGUUCAGGAACGAGUCGACUAGUCCGAACCCUAACUUGGUGAGUUGCAAUGAGGUUGACUUGUGCAAAUCAACCUGUGGGUUUGUGUGGGCUCGAAGGCACUCCGAGUGGGCUUAGUGGGCUCAGGGAUUUCUGGCACGUGGUGGGUUGGUUUUAAACAUGUUUUGGGCUUGGGUUAUUUUAAAACGAAUGGGCUCAUGUUUAAACAUGGUUUGGGCUUGGGUUAUUUUAAAAUAAAUGGGCUCAAAUUUAAGAAUAUUAGUGGGCUCAGACUGUUUUAAAAAUAGUAGGAGCCUGAUUUUAAAAAUGGUGGGCUCAGUUUCUUCUUAAAAACAUCGGCCAAGGGGUUUAAAAAUGGUUCAUGGGUUUGGUUUCAAAAAGGGUUGCUGGGCUUGGUUUUAAAAGGGUUGGUGGGCUUGGUUUUAAAAAAUAUUUAUGAGCUUAAUUUAAAAGGUUUUGUGGGCUUGGUUUUUUAAAUAGGGUAUGGGCUCGGUCCUUUUUCAAAAGCAGAUGGACUUAGGUUUUAAAAAUGUUUGGGCUUUGGGGAGUUUUAAAACAGAUAUGGGCUUUGGUUUCUAGUUUGGUUCAAAGUAAAGUUUAGUGGUGAUUGGGCUGAUUCUCCAAUCAAUGGAAAUUCGGGCAGUGAGUCUGAGGAGGGAAUAUUUCAAAUUUUUGCAAUAUCUCUCGAGAACUUGUUUCCAUACUGACCUUUAACCAAGGUGAACAGGACCUUCGAGGAUGCUUCAAAAUAUGCUUGCACACGACAUUUUGGGAUUUGGAUUUGAUUUUUAUUUCCUUUGUAUUUUCAUUGUAAUUCCCCGUAUUUCCCAAUUACUUCCCUGUAUUUUCCUUAUAUGUAUUUUUGCGGUAAUUCCCUAUAUCCCCCAAUAUUGUACUUUUAUGUAUUCUAUAUUUCAGCAUCUCCUUGUAUUCCAUAACUUGGGCACGUGCCCCCUUCAAUAAAAUGUAUUACUUUAUUAUGCA